GAUGAACGCUGGCGGCGUGCCUAAUACAUGCAAGUCGAGCGAACAGACGAGGCGCUUGCUCCUCUAACGUUAGCGGCGGACGGGUGAGUAACACGUGGAUAACCUACCUAUAAGACUGGGAUAACUUCGGGAAACCGGAGCUAAUACCGGAUAAUAUAUUGAACCGCAUGGUUCAAUAGUGAAAUACGGUUUUGCUGUCACUUAUAGCUGGCUCCGCGCCGCAUUAGCUAGUUGGUACGGUAACAGCUUACCAAGGCAACGAUGCGUAGCCGACCUGAGAGGGUGAUCGGCCACACUGGAACUGAGACACGGUCCAGACUCCUACGGGAGGCAGCAGUAGGGAAUCUUCCGCAAUGGGCGAAAGCCUGACGGAGCAACGCCGCGUGAGUGAUGAAGGUCUUCGGAUCGUAAAACUCUGUUAUUAGGGAAGAACAAAUGUGUAAGUAACUAUGCACGUCUUGACGGUACCUAAUCAGAAAGCCACGGCUAACUACGUG
rnacentral:rRNA from 1 species